rnacentral:lncRNA from 1 species
UAAAUGCAGUUAUUUGUCAAUUAAAAAUGAUUAAUGAGUUUAAAAUUUUUUCGAAGUGUAACAUUUUUAACUUUUUCUCGUUCAAAUAAAGUUUUCUGUUUUUUAAAAUCACCUCUUAACUUCCAUUAAGCAAACUUAUUUAUUAUCAGGGAACCUGCCCUGAUAAUCACGUAGGUUCUUUUUUAUUUUUCCUAAGCGUCAGCCGGCUUGAGAAAUAAAGAGACAGAGUACAAAAGAGAGAAAUUUUAAAGCUGGGCCUCUGGGGGACACAUCACACAUUGGUAGGAUCCGUGAUGCCCCACAAGCCACAAAAACCAGCAAGUUUCUAUUAGGGAUUUUCAAAAGGGGAGGGAGUGUG